GCCUGGAUGGCUCAGUCGGUUGAGCAUCUGACUUCGGCUCAGGUCAUGAUCUCCCGGUUCGUGAGUUCGAGUCCUGCGUCGGGCU
rnacentral:tRNA from 1 species